rnacentral:rRNA from 1 species
GACAGAGGGUGCAAACGUUGCUCGGAAUUACUGGGCGUAAAGGGCGUGUAGGCGGGAAGGCAAGUCGGGCGUGAAAGCCCCAGGCUCAACCUGGGAACUGCACUCGAAACUGCCUUUCUUGAGUGCCGGAGAGGAAAGCGGAAUUCCGUGGUGUAGAGGUGAAACUCGUAGAUAUCAGGAGGAACACCAGUGGCGAAGGCGGCUUCGUGGACGGUAACUGACGGCUGAGACGCGAAAGCGUGGGGAGCAAACAGG